AAUGUGUCAGGGUAAGUGUGAGUAUGGCGGUAUCUGUGCGAGAGCAAAAAGGUUGUCUGCCGAAGGAUCGGCCCGCGUCUGAUUAGCUAGUUGGUGAGGUUAUGGCUCACCAAGGCGACGAUCAGUAGCUGGUUUGAGAGGAUGAUCACCCACACUGGGACUGAGACGCGGCCCAGACUCCUACGGGAGGCAGCAGUGGGGAAUAUUGGACAAUGGGGGCAACCGUGAUCCAGCCAUGCCGCGUGAGUGAUGACGGCCUUAGGGUUGUAAAGCUCUUUUCUCCGGGACGAUAAUGACGGUACCGGAGGAAUAAGCCCCGGCUAACUUCGUGCCAGCAACCUCGGUAAUACGAAGGGGGCUAGCGUUGCUCGGAAUCGCUGGGCGUAAGGGCGCGUAGGCGGCUGAUUUAGUCGAGGGUGAAAGCCCGUGGCUCAACCWCGGAAUGGCCUUCGAUACUGAUUGGCUUGAGACCGGAAGAGGACAGCGGAACUGCGAGUGUAGAGGUGAAAUUCGUAGAUAUUCGCAAGAACACCAGUGGCGAAGGCGGCUGUCUGGUCCGGUUCUGACGCUGAGGCGCGAAAGCGUGGGGAGCAAACAGGAUUAGAUACCCUGGGAGUCAACGCUGUAAACGAUUAAUGCUUCCCGUUCCGGUGCUUGCACCUCAGUGAAACCACUAACGCUUUAAUAAUUCCGCCUGGGGAGUACGGUCGCAAGAUUAAAACUCAAAGGAAUAGACGGGGGCCCGCCCAAGUGGUGGCUCCUGUGGUUUAAUUGGAAGCAACUCACAGAACCUUACCAUCCCUUGACAUGGAAUGCAAACCCUAAAGAUCCGCUGUUCCCUUCGGGGACUUGCACACAGGUGCUGCAUGGCUGUGGCCAUCUUGUGUCGUGAAAUGUUGGGUUAAUUCCCGCAACGAGCGCAACCCACGUCCUCAGUUGCCAUCAUUAAGUUGGGCACUCUGGGGAGACUGCCGGUGAUAAGCCGCGACGAAUGUGUGCAUGACGUCAACUCCUCAUGGCCCUUACGGGAUGCGCUCCACACGUGCUACAAUGGCGGCGACAAUGGGCAGUGAAGGGGCGACCUGGAGCGAAUCCCCAAAAGCC
rnacentral:rRNA from 1 species